rnacentral:rRNA from 1 species
CGGCGGCCGUAACUAUAACGGUCCUAAGGUAGCGAAAUUCCUUGUCGGGUAAGUUCCGACCUGCACGAAUGGUGUAACGAUCUGGACGCUGUCUCAGCCGUGAGCUCGGUGAAAUUGAAGUAUCGGUGAAGAUGCCGAUUACCCGCAACGGGACGAAAAGACCCCGUGAACCUUUACUAUAGCUUCACAUUGUGUUUGAGUAUAGGAUGUGUAGGAUAGGUGGAGGCUAUGAAUCUGGCACGCUAGUGUUGGUGGAGCCGCCGUUGAAAUACCACCCUUUCUAUACUUAGAUUCUAACUUUCCUUAUGGAGAGGACAGUGUGUGGUGGGUAGUUUGACUGGGGUGGUCGCCUCCUAAAAGAGUAACGGAGGCUUGCAAAGGUACCCUCAGCAUGGACGGUAACCAUGCGAAGAGCGCAUUAGUAGAAGGGUGCUUGACUGAGAGAACGACGGUUCGAACAGGGACA